AACGAACGCUGGCGGCAUGCCUAACACAUGCAAGUCGAACGAGACCUUCGGGUCUAGUGGCGCACGGGUGCGUAACGCGUGGGAACCUGCCCUUAGGUUCGGAAUAACUCCCCGAAAGGGGUGCUAAUACCGGAUAAUGUCUUCGGACCAAAGAUUUAUCGCCUUUGGAUGGGCCCGCGUUGGAUUAGCUAGUUGGUAGGGUAAAAGCCUACCAAGGCGACGAUCCAUAGCUGGUCUGAGAGGAUGAUCAGCCACACUGGGACUGAGACACGGCCCAGACUCCUACGCGAGGCAGCAGUGGGGAAUAUUGGACAAUGGGCGAAAGCCUGAACCAGCAAUGCCGCGUGAGUGAUGAAGGCCUUAGGGUUGUAAAGCUCUUUUACCCGGGAUGAUAAUGACAGUACCGGGAGAAUAAGCUCCGGCUAACUCCGUG
rnacentral:rRNA from 1 species